rnacentral:rRNA from 1 species
AAUAAUAAAUAUAUUUAUAUAUUUAUAUCAAUAAACUAAAUAUAUGUUCUUUAAUCAAAUUUUUAGCCUUCUUCGAUCCUUUCGUACUAAAAGAAGCAAUAAUAAUAUUUAAAAGAUAGAAACCAACCUGGCUCACGCCGGUCUGAACUCAGAUCAUGUAAAGUUUUAAAAAUCGAACAGAUUUACCUUAUAAAGCUUCUGCACCUUAAGGUUACUUUAAUCCAACAUCGAGGUCGCAAUCUUACUUUUCAAUAAGAACUCUCUAAGUAAAUUACGCUGUUAUCCCUAUGGUAACUAUAUUAUAAGCAAUACAUAACACACAUUGUGCUAAUCACAUCGGUUACUUAAUUUAACAAUAUAAUAAUCUAAGGAAGUUACAUUAUAAAAAUUUAUUCCUUAAUCACCCCAAUUAAAAUUUAUAUACUACAAUGAUAAAUUCAAUAACCAUAAUAGUAAUAAAAUUAUAAGCUCAAUAGGGUCUUCUCGUCCCUUUAAAAAAUUCAAGCUUUUUCACUAUGAAAAUUAAUUUCUAAAAAAUAAAAUGGAGACAGAUUAACCUUCGUCAAACCAUUCAUUCUAGCCUCAAAUUAUAAGGCAAAUUAUUAUGCUACCUUAGUACAGUUAAAAUACCGCAGCUGUUAAAAAUAUUCACCGAGCAGGCCCAACUCCUUAUUUAUUAUUAACAAAGAGAGAUGUUUUUGAUAAACAGGCGAGAUUAAUAUUUGCCGAAUUCCUUCAUUUUACUUAAUUAUAUAUACAUAAAUGUCCUAAUUUACAUUUAUAAUAUCAAUAAACCACAACUAAUUAAUAUAACCAAUACUCAUAUUAACAUUAUACUUAAUUAAACAAUUGUUUUUAAUCAUUUAUUAACUACACAACACUUGAACAUAAUUUAUUUAACCUUUAUAAAUAUUAAAUCAUUAAGAAAAACAACACUUUAACCCUACUUAAAAUAUAAUAAUUUAUUUAAUCGAAUUAAUUUCUACUAACCUAUAUGAAGCUUAUCCCCCAUAUAAUAAACUAAUAUCAAAACAUAUUAAACAUAUUUAUCCUAAUAUUAUGAUACUUAAAUAUCACUCACUUAAUAAACUAGCUAUACCAGGAAACGAUAAACAUUUCACUACCAUUUAAUAAUAAAUAUAUAACUUUACCACGUUAACAUCUUUUAUUAAAUAAAUCCUCCUAAUUCGAGAUAGUUUUUACUAAAAAACCUUAAUAUCAUCAACCCAUUAUACAAAAGGUACAAAAUUUUAUUUUUACUAAAACUUAAUUACACAUUAUCCUUUACAGUACUAAAACCAAAAAUUUAUCUAUACUACUAAUACCUAAACAACAAACAAUUUUUAUUAAUUUCUUAACUAUACAAUCACAAAAUAAUAAUAAUAUUU